ensembl:lncRNA
GUUUUUUUGCAAGUUUAUUUCUCAGUUCACAAGUCUGAGAAAAAAAAGUCUAAAGUGCAAGAUGUUCACAAUUGAAAGUUAUAAAAAAAAAAAUUAAAUUAUGAGAUAAAAACUUGUAAUUUUGAGGGGAAAAAAUACAAUUGUGAGACUGUAAAAAGUCAUAAAUACCAUUUCUAUUAUUGUAUUUUGUCUCAGAAAUGGGCUUCUAUCCAUAUGUGCUAUAGUCUGUUAUUAACAAUAAACUGAAAUAGUGUUUAAGUGUUUAUCCACUGAAAAUGCACCAAAUUUGAAUCAUGCAUGUCUGUUUGUACUUCAGUGACUUGAAGUAAAGUUAUCAAAGUUUUGGAUGAAUGUGCAGUAGUCAUAUUGUCUACUUUCUGAAACAUGUAUGUUGCUUUUUGUGUCUUAUUGGAGACUUUUCGAUUUCAAUUAAAAUUUUUGUAUAGAAAGAGUAACCUGAAUAUUCCCCAAACAUGCACCUCUUAUGUCCUUCAGAAGCAAGAAAGUCAUUUGGAACUGCGAUCUUUAACUUUUGGCUCUGGGAGGAAACCAGGUGUCUUUAUCUUUAACUGGAAGACAGAAUUUAUGUGUCAGAGAGAGAGAGAGAGAUAAAGCAAGAGAGAGAACCAGAGGAUAGCUGAAGUCAAAGAGGUCAAUCAUUCAACUGUCUGAGACUGUAGCUCCAGCUGGCGUUUGUGUCUGUCUUACACACACACACACACACGGUGUCACUAGGGUUCAGUAAGCCAUCUGCCAAGACACUAGACUGAUAAAGACACAUCAUCCAAACAAGUAUUACAUCUCUCACUGUCUGUUCUGCCCAGCAGUACACACACAACAACAAACAACUGCCAUUUCGUGUCAGCUAAACACUGAUGACAGUUUGCGUAAAAUAAAUCUACAAUAAUGUCUCCAAAUUAAAAGUAACGAUUUUCUUUGCUGUACUGAAUGAAAAAUCGGCACACCGGCGUAGUGCGGCUUCAACAGGUUCAUGCAUUUGAUGGACUGCUAUGGCUCUCCGGCCGGCUUUUCUGCAGAUAAACAACAUUACACAAGACUAAUGACGGACAAAAACUGGAGUGACUGAAAAAUUAUUUGUAUUAUCUUUUUCUUUUUUGCAAUGCAAACUAUGUGUUUAUUUAAUGCUGUGAAGUCCGCUAAAUGUAAAAUCAAUACAUGAAAUGAGAGCAAAUCUCUAGUUGCCGUUUUAAAGGCAGAUGUGCAGCUUUGUGUGACUCCUGAUUCUGUUGAUCAGGAAAUCCUCUUUGACCUCGCACAGUAUUAUGCAGUCAGCGCUGGCACGGUUCCUAAUGGGCUGCGAAUUUACCUGAUGAACUGAGAAAUUUCACAGCAUAUGGUGGGUACCUGCUUGAAGAAUGAGUCGUUGAGGUGUUUCCUGAGGCAGCGUUCUGCCGGUGUUGGUAGUCUUUUAUGUGACUGUUGGUGGUACAAGGGAGACUGAGCUUAUUAAAUAUUUAUUCUUAAGGAAUGAAACAACUAAAUUAGGGGUGGGUGAUAUGGAAAAAAUAUAUCACGGUUUUUUUCAGGAAAAUCACAAUGAGGUUCCUACUGUUGAACAUAAAAGUUACUUUAGAGAAUUUGGUUAACCAAAUAGUUGCUGGUCACCAGUGACUUCCAUAGUAUUUUUUUUCUACUAUCAACCUGUCAGCGCCUGUCAUUAGUCUGUUUACUAUAAUUAGUCUGCUGUCACAUUAGAUGGAUGACAAGAUCUGCAUCCAUCUAAUAUACAUGUGUGCAUUUGUUUUUCUCUCAACAGUUUACUUUCACUUUAGACAUAAAAUGCGCACAAAUUAAAUGGCAAGGCCUUUGUGAAUAAGUGUAGUGUCCCGUGAGUGUAACUCUACCGCAAAGUUAACAUUUGAUGUGAAUGUAUGUCACGUUACACAGUAUAUUGAGAUUGAGGCACCAGAACUGCAACUGAUAGAAUGUGCGCUGUAGCACCAUACUAAGAUAUUUCUUCAAAAGCAGAUUGUGGAGACAUUUUAAUCAUCCACGUUCAAAAAUCGUGAUACUGCACACCCCUAAACUAAAGUGAUAAACAUAUCUAAGGUUUUAGUCAGUUUACUUAGUAAAAAGUAGUACUUAUACUGUAUAACUUUUACUAUAAAAGAAUUUGAUUAAAAUUUUUUAAAAAAAGUUAAGGCUUUGAAGGUUAUACGAAUAGAUGGAUGGAUGGAAGGGUGGAAAGAAUGAGGGAUGGACGGACAGAUGAUAGAACGGCAGAUGGACGGAUGGAUGAAUAGAACAAAGGAGGUAGGGAUGGUUGGAUGGAUAGAACGACAGAUGGAUGAUAGAAUGACGAACAAAUAAAUGGAUGGAUAGAAUGAUUGACGGAUGGAUAGAAUGACAAAUAAAUAAAUGGAUGGAUAGAAUGACGAAUGAUAAAUGGAUGGAUAGAACGAUGGAUGGAUGGAUGGCUAGAACGACAGAAGAAUGAUACAGAUGGAUGGAUGGAUAGAAUGACAAACGAAUAGAAGUAUGGACAGAAUGACGGAUGGAUGGAUGGUGUACAGCAAUAUGGUCAUCAGCAGAAAAACAAU